GUGGGGAAUUUUGGACAAUGGGCGCAAGCCUGAUCCAGCAAUGCCGCGUGCAGGAAGAAGGCCUUCGGGUUGUAAACUGCUUUUGUACGGAACGAAACGGUCCUGGUUAAUACCUGGGGCUAAUGACGGUACCGUAAGAAUAAGCACCGGCUAACUACGUGCCAGCAGCCGCGGUAAUACGUAGGGUGCGAGCGUUAAUCGGAAUUACUGGGCGUAAAGCGUGCGCAGGCGGUGCUGUAAGACAGGCGUGAAAACCCCGGGCUCAACCUGGGAAUUGCGCUUGUGACUGCAGUGAUGGAGUACGGCAGAGGUGGAUGGAAUUCCGCGUGUAGCAGUGAAAUGCGUAGAUAUGCGGAGGAACACCGAUGGCGAAGGCAGUCCCCUGGGCCUGUACUGACGCUCAUGCACGAAAGCGUGGGGAGCAAACAGGAUUAGAAACCCUUGUAGUCC
rnacentral:rRNA from 1 species